CAGUCGCCACGGGAAUACGUAGGUGGCAAGCGUUGUCCGGAAUUAUUGGGCGUAAAGGGCUCGCAGGCGGUUUCUUAAGUCUGAUGUGAAAGCCCCCGGCUCAACCGGGGAGGGUCAUUGGAAACUGGGAAAUUUGAGUGCAGGAGAGGAGAGUGGAAUUCCACGUGUAGCGGUGAAAUGCGUAGAGAUGUGGAGGAACACCAGUGGCGAAGGCGACUCUCUGGUCUGUAACUGACGCUGAGGAGCGAAAGCGUGGGGAGCGAACAGGAUUAGAUACCCGAGUAGUCCCUGUCUCUUAUAC
rnacentral:rRNA from 1 species